CUUUUUCUUUUUUUUUCUAAAGAUUUAUGUGUUUGAGAUUCAGAAAGAGCGAGAGGGAGUGGGAGAGAGAAAGAGGUUUUCCAUCUGCUGGUUCACUCCCCAGAUGGCCACAAUAGCUGGAACUGCGCCGAUCCGGAGCCAGAAGCCAACAGCUUCUUCCAGUGGAAGCUUUUAGAGAUGGAUGUUCUUUAAGAGCAAAGCCUGGCUCUGGGACUAAGUCAUUGUUGGCCUGCCUCGGUGUUAUUUAUGGUGUUCUGUACCUUCAAGACAAAGGGCACCCUGAGUCUUCUCAAAGGAGCCUGGAAUCCAUGGAGCCGACUCCUGUUGUUACUGCGGAAAUACUCAAUGACUGAAUGUACCACCAGCCUGACAGUCAUGAGAUGUUCAACAGAAUCACUUUGGAAUGUUAGGUGAAGUGUGAAAAACAUCAGUGUGCUUUAUCAGCAGUCUGAUUUUUGUCUGGCAUAAGAAAAAAUAAGACAAGUGUAGGAUUGUUCCUCUAUUUUAUAAAGCCAAUGGCAGAGUUGGAAAAUUUGAGUAUUUUUUGAGGCGUAUUACGUCAAAAAGAACAUGUUGCUGUCUACUUUAUGCUUAAGUCAAAAAUGGAAAAGAUGAAAUUGAUGUGGCCAUUUGCUUAAGUAUUUUCAAGUCUUCAGGGAUAAAGACAGACUGGAGUAGAAAUGUGAUAAUAAUGAAUGGAUCUAAAAAGUGAAGCAAGAAGUCAUUUAUCUGUUUGCAUCCUAGCGCCUUGUUUUAAUGUGUGUCCAGGAAGAAGAUAAAAAAAAGACUGAUUCGUGAAGUGACUGUUGUAAUUGUAAGAAGCAAGUAUGUCUGUGGUGCAUGAAAAACCUUUAUUAAAGAUAAUUUCCUUAACCAGUUAAGGGCUGUGUGUGUGUGUGUGUGUGUGUGUGUAUGUAAAAUUGUAGCCAUGUAACUAAUUUUUGCAUGAGGGAAAUGUUAAUAAAAAAUGAAUUUGUCAUUUUAUAGUCUAGCUCUUCAUCAAAAAAUGAGUCUGUCACAUUUAUUUUCCAUUUCUUUACUCCAGCCGUAUUUGAUCAUUAUAUGGUGUUUAAAUUUACUUUUAGAUCUUAGGUGAGUUGACAAAGGCUAGUGUUAAUACCAAGUGUGGUGUAGUCUAUGAACAGAGAAUGCUAGAAUUCAUGAUUACACUGUAUCAUAUGGGAACCAAAUUCAGCAUAUAGACCAGUGUUUUUCAAAAUGAGACCUUAAGGCAGUCUACAUAGAAAUUAUCAGUAAUACUUGUUGAAAAUACAGAUCCUAUGAGCCCUUCCUUCUCUCAUCUACCAUCAGUCAAAAUUUCGGGGAGCUAUGCCCAGGAAUUUCAUUUUAACAAGCACCUAGGCAGUUUGCACAUUAGAAUUUGCGAUCUCCUGAAAUAGAAGAUUGAACAUGUUUUACAUAUUGCUCUCCUAUUUAAGAUGGUUAAAUUAGGAGAUCUUUGAAGGCGGAAGAGAGAAAAGAUAUCUAUUUUUCCAUUUAGGCAUUAGAUUUUUAGAGUUUCAAAACCAAGCUAAUGUAUAAUGACAGCAUUAAUUUCAUUUAUUAGUUUCUCUUAAAGGUGAAACUUGGAGUUGAAUUUUAUAAUUCAGAGCUUUGAAUAUCUGUUUAAGCUGAGUAGAAACUAUUGUAUUGCUUCUAAAAACUACAUUUCAGUUCUUGUUGAACUGAGGAAAUACAGAUAAAACACACAUUAAGCUUGCCUUCUGGUCUUCUUUCCUGUCUUCUCCUUUUGCUCCUCCAGUUUUUCCAAAAUUGGCCUUGAUUUACAAAAUAAAAAGAGCAAAGAGAGAUAAAAUGUGCUUUCUUACUCAAUGUGGUAUAAAAGUUAAUAUUAAUGAUAUGUCACUUGUAUCUGAUUACUGUGAUUUGUAAGAUAAGUUUCCAAAGAAGAAUUACUUAUCUUGUGAUAACCCAUUUUUCAAUUUGUUUCCCAGUAUUAACUGUUAUUUCUUUUCUGAAGAGUUUAUUUAUUUGAAAAGCAGAGUCAUGGGGGAGGAAGGGAGAGAUUCUCUAUCUGUCUGCCUAUCUCUCUAUUGAUUGAUCUGUCUACCUACCUACGUACCUACCCACCUAUCUCCCAUCAUCUGGUUUACUCCCCAAAUACUUGGAACAGCUGGGGCUGGGCCAGGCCAAAUACAGGAGCCAAGAAUUCCAUGCAGGUCUCCCACAUGGGUGGCCAGGACCCAAGUACUUGAAUCAUCAUCUGCUUCCUCCCAGGCACAUUAGCAGGAAGCUGAAUUGGAAGCAAAGGUCAGACUUGAUCCCAAGCACUCUGACAUGGGAUGAGGAUGUCCCAAGUGGAGUCUUAAGCUAUUGUGCCACAGUGUCUGCCCCUACUGUUAUUAUUUCUAAAGUAUGGGUACUGCCCUGAUGGAUUUUUUAGAGCAAUUUGUUUCUUUCUUUUUUAAAAAGAUUUAUUUAUUUAUUUGAAAGUCAGAGUUACAUAGAUAGAGAAGGAGAACAGGAGAUAGAGAGGUUUUCCAUCUGCUUGUUCACUUCCCAAUUGGCCAUUUAGCUGCACUGGUCAGAAGUCAGGAGCCAGGAGCUUCUUCUGGGUCUCCCAAACUGUUGCAGGGGCAUCUUCUGCUUUCCCAGGCCAUAGCAGAGAGCUGGAAUUAAUAGGAAGUGGAGCAGCCGGAACUCCAACCAAUGCCCAUAUGGAAUGCCAGCACUGCGGGUGGCGGCUUUAACUCGCUACCCCAUAGCGCUGGCCCCAACCCUUAUAUAUUAAUUUCAUUGUUUUUUUGGAAGUAAAAUGCAUAUUUGGAGGAUAAAACUAAAAACAUGAUUUUCACUUUGGUUCUGUUUGCAGUGAUAUACCUAAGAUCUGGUACAAAAUAAUGUGCUCAUGGGACUGGCAUGGUGGCACAAGUGGGUUAAGCUGGCGCCUGGGAUGCUGGCCUCCCAUAAUGGCACCAGUUCAAGUGGCAGCUCCAUUUCUAUUCCAGCUCCUUAUUAAUGCCCCUAGAAGAGCACUGUAAGAUGGCCUUAGUACUUGGGCCUCCAUACUCACAUGGGAGACCUGGAUGGAGUUCCUGUUUCCUGGCUUCAGCUUAGUCCAGCCCAGCCAUUACAGCCGUUUGGAUUUGAAGCAGCAGAUGGAGAUAAUUCUCUGACUGUCUUUCAAGUAAAUAAAAUAAAUAUUAAGCAACAUCAAAAUUAGGUGGUCAGCUGUUUGGUCUACAUGUUGAAUACUUGUUAAAAAUAUUUACUGUGGAAGCAAAUGUUUAAGUUGUUUUUAGUACUCUGACUUUGUUGAUUUCUACAUUAUAAUUUACAUAUGUAAAUAUUAUCCCUUUCAUGUAUACAGACCUAUGAAUUUUGACACACUGUAUAGUCAUGUAAACUCCCUCCCUCCACAGUGGGGAGAGAGGAUGUUUUCAUCAUCCUAGGAAGCAGCCUCAUGCCCCUUAGAGUCAGUCUGCCUUUUCUACUACCAGAUGUUGGCAAUGACUUACCUGAUUUCUGUCCUUUUAUGUGUUUUUGUCUUUUCCAAGAUGUAUUAGAAAUUGAAUAAUACAGUAACUUUGUAUGUCUGGUUUCUUUAACUUAGCACAAUAUUUAUAAGGUACUCCGUUUUAAAUUUUUUUAACUUUUUCAUAUUUCCCUCUUGUUCCUUUUCAUUACUGAGUAGUGUUCUAUUAUAUGUCUGUAUUAGUUCAUUUGCAAGUUGAUGAAUAUUCUAUUUAUUUUCAGUUUUUGAUAAUGAGGAGGAGGAGGAGUAAUGGUUAUUUAGAUUUAUGUGUGGGCAUAUGUCUUUAUUUUUCUUGGGCAACUACCUGGGAGUAUGGGGUUGCUUGUUCAUGGGGUGAAAGAUGUGUUGAAUGCUGUAAGAAACUGCUUUCCAAAGAGUCUAUAUAUCUAUAUAUGUCUGUGUAUGUACAUACACACAUGUAAACAACAUAUAUAAAACAGAACAAAUAGAAUAAAUAAUACAUGUUUACAACACAUUUAAAUAUAUUUUAUAAUGUAUAUAAAAUAGAAUUUUAUAAAUGUGUAUAAAAGUAGAACAUAAAGUAGUGGCAACGUAGGAAAAAUAUAAAAUUUACUCUUUUAACCAUUUUUAAGGAUGUAGUUCAGUGACAUUAAGUACAUUUAAAUGAUUGUGUAGCCAUUACCACCAUCCAUCUCUAAAACUUUUUUGUUUUUCUAAACUUAAAUUCUAUCUAUUAAGUAAUAACACCAUUCUCCACCCCUUCCUGGCUAUUCUGUAUUUGGUCUCUAUGAAUUUGACUACUCCAAAAAUCUCAUAUAAAUGGAAUCAGACCCUAAGCAUAGUGUCUUCUAGGUUCAUCCAUGUUGGAGCAUGUGUCAGAAUUACAUUCCUUUUACAGCUGAAUGGUAUUUCAUGAUCUAUAUCACAUUUUGUUUACCUGUUUAUCUGUUGAUAUACACUUAGAUUGUUUCUUCCCUUUGGCUGCUAUGAAUAUUGGUAUACAGUAUCUGUUCAGGUUUGUUUUUCUUUCUUUUGGGUAUUUCUGGGAACAAGUUGCUGGAUCAUAUAUUAAUUCCAAGUUUAAUUUUCUGAGUAGACACUGUACUGUUUUCCACAGUAGCUGCAUCAUUUUAUAUUCUUAUCAGCAAUACACAGGGCUUCAUUUUCUUCACAACCUCACAAACACUUGUUAUUUUCUCCUUUGAUAAUGGCCAUUGUAAUAGUCACAAUGUGGUCUCAUUGUGGGUUUUAUACUAAAAUAUUUUGUACAUUAUAAAAAAAAUCUCAAAAGUUAUUUUAUUUUUUUUUUGCUAUUGAAAUUAGGAACUUAAUUUUCAAAAAAUAAUAAUGUUAUAUUCUGAUCACAUUUGUGUUAUUCUGACCAGUUUAAAAUUGCAUUGGCCAGGAUUUCCCUCUUUAUCACACUUAGUAGCUGAGACUGUUGAACAAGUACAGAAACUAGUUAAGAAUUUGUUCUGUGACUGAUUUUCCAAUUCCUAUUCAGGUAGGAAUAUUUGAUGUGAUAUUUUAGAAGUAAUAAACAUUUUGAAGUGUUAAAGUCUUCUAGAACAGUAAAAAUUUCAUUGUUCAUGAGUUAUAUGGUGAUAAUGAGAGAAAUUGUAUUGCUGAUACAAUUGUAUACCAUUUGAAAUCAGUUGACAGAUCCUUGACCGUCUAAUAAAGGAUUAAGGCUUGGUGUUAGAUAUGGUAGGGAUACAGAUAAUUAUCAUAAUUAAUAUUUCAUAUUGUUUAUGCCAGACACUUUUUAGGUAUUCACUUCAUUCAUAAUUUUUCAGCAAUCAUAUGCCUUUAUCCCUAUUUUGCAGGUGAGAAAACUGAGGCAUAGGAAGGACAAGUAUCUUGGCCAGGGUCACAAAGCUGGUGCUAGAACUUGGGUUGGUGACCUAUCGGUAUGACUGCAGAGCCUGUGUUCUUGUACUUUUAAAGAAAGUAGAAGACGUGGUUCCUGCCCUGAAAUAGUUUUUUGUCUAGUCAAGGUGACAAGUCUCAGAUACAUGGAAAGAUAUAUAUGUUUUAAAAGGUUGUAGACUGUAAAUAAAUACGACAGGUAGAAAGCUGAGCCCAAUCUUUCAGUUGGAUUGCCGUAACAAGGCAGAAUUGGGAUUCUAGACUCCCACCAUAUUGCUGGUUAAUGCAUUUGAGCAGCUGGGAUGGACUACACACUGUGCACUUAGUAUGAGUAGGAUUUAAAUAAACAACUUUUAGUCAGUACGUUUUUAUUUUUCAGAGUUUAGCCAUGUGAACGUAGUGAUGUUGAAUAGUUCAUUAAGAUUCCCCUGCUUGUUUUUGAAACCUAUUUUAAAGUGAGGGAAAGCAUCAAGAGUGAGUCCAUUUUACAGCCUCGCUGCCUAUUUAAGGGUUUUCUGUUUGCUGUACCCUUUUAAAGUUGUUCUCCUUAUCCAUGGGAGAUGUUGGGGGACAGGAAGAAGAAGGGAGUAGAUGUGUUUGUUCACUCCCAUAAAGGAUGUUUAUUAACAUUAUUUUAGUGCUUCAGGCCUACGCUCAGAAACAAGAUGUGUCAUUCAUUACACAGCAUGCUGUCACGUCCAGUCUGCCACCUCAUGACUUCUCUGAGUAAAACUGACUCAGUGGUAUGAGGCCUGGCUUUUAGCACAGGGGAAGCAACUAUCUACUUGGAGCAGUUAGAGUAUUAAUAUUGUCUCUGUUUUGGAGAUACUUAAGGUAGGGUCACUGUAUAAUUCUUUGGUACUUCAUUUUAUAGCUUUUUUUCCCUCCUCAGUCAUAUUGUGACCUGCAAAUUAUAGAUUGAAUAAACUCAGCCUAUAAUGCCCAAUUUUAAUAUUCCCAGAGUGUGGAAUGUGCCCCAUUAUUGUGGUUUGAAGACAGAGGCUUAUCGAAGAUUAUUCAUGUUCUUUAAAGUAGUUUACCAACAGCUGCCAUUAUCCAGUGCUUAAUGCUAAUAUAUUCAAGUAUGUUUAAGUUCAAUAUCUUCUCUUGAUUUCGAUUUAUUCUUGAAUUUUAGUGAGAUCCAGUCUCUGAAAAAUUAGGUAGCUCAAAAAAAAGUGUUUUCUGCUCUGCAAUGUGAGAAUUUAAAGGCACAAGAAAGUGGUGAUCAGAAUCCCCUUUUCCCCCCUCUAUGAUAAUAAAUACAGCAUUAACUUUGUCCUUGCCAUUUUUUGAGUAGUAAGCAUUCAUAAUACAGUGUUCUUUUGCCAUUGAUAGUGCUUUCUCUGAUUUUUAAACUUUCACAGACAGAUUAUUUGGAAGGAACACAUCAUUUUUGGAACUUCACAUUUGAGAGGAUUGUGUGACAGGUACAGAAUUCAAGGUUUAUAAAAGAAUUAGAGUGGACAUUCCAUUUUGUAACUGUUACUUUUAGGCUAGAGAUAUAUUUCUCUGUGGCAAUCUUCUGAUCUUUAAAAGGCCAUAUGUAUGUUAAUUUUUGUUUUCUCCAUACUUAUUCUAGAAUCUAGACUUUCCAAAGGUCCAUUUUCCUUCCAACCUCUAAUCAGAUUGAUUUAUAUAUCUUUUCAGUUACAUUCUAUCAUUGUUACUUUAUUUCUAAAGAGUAGAAGUUUACUGUGAAUGAAUAGUGGGAAGAGAGGACCAGAUUGAGAGCAUUUCCUCUAUCUUGCCCAUGAAAGCAAAUGAAAAAGUAGGAGGGAACAAAUGAUUGCUCCACUCACUCCACUUGCGGAAUUGCUAAAGCUGUAGAAAACUAGUGGUAAAAAAUGCCCUGAGUUUCUGUGAAAGACAUUUAAUUUUGUGGAACAAAAUUGAAGGGGCCUUUAGAGAUACUGUAGUUCAGUUUCCUCAUUUUUACAUAAGGUUUAUCAAUCAGGACUUGUGACCUUAAUGAAGUGUUCUUUUGACAACACUACCCUGGUAUUUAUGAUCUUUUCAGUAUCUAAAGAAUUUUUCCUUUAAAAAACUUCAGUUUAAAAACUGAAUCUGCAUUUAAUGAACAAAUAAGUACCUUUUAAUUUUUUUCUGUAUGACAACAAACUAGAGUUCCAAUCCCCUAACUGAACAACAAAUUACUUAAUUGCUUUGAGUCUAUUUCCUGUUCUGUGAUAGGGAGAUAAUAAUAGAAAUGUACUUGUUAGUUUAUUGUGAGGACUAACUACUUUAUCAUCUAUUCCUUCCUUCCUUCCACUUAAAAAUAGCAUUUCUAAUUUGUUAUUGUCACGUUAUGAGAUGAAUUCAUAUUAUUAAAUUCCAGGUAAUUAAAACAUAAUUUAUUAAGAGCCAAGACCCCCUUUAAGGGGAAGCAUGUUGGAUGGGAAUAUUUAAAAUUUUUUUUUUUUUUUGACAGAGUGGACAGUGAGAGAGAGAGAGACAGAGAGAAAGGUCUUCCUUUGCCGUUUGUUCACCCUCCAAUGAAAGAGUUACACAGAGAGAGGAGAGGCAAAGAGAAAAAGAGAGAGAGAGAGAGAGAGAGAGAGAGGUCUUCCAUCUGAUGGUUCACUCCCCAAUUAGCCUCAACAGCUGGAGCUGUGCUGAUCUGAACCCGGGAGCCAGGAGAUUCUUCUGGGUCUCCCACAUGGAUGCAGGGGCCCAAGGACUUGGGCCAUCUUCUGCUGCUUUCCCAGGCCAUAGCAGAGAGCUGGAUUGGAAGUGGAGCAGCUGGGUUUUGAACCAGCACCCAUUUGGGAUGCCAGUGCUUCAGGCCAGGGCGUUAACCCGCUGCGGUUAAUGCCCUGGGAAUAUUUAAAUUCAUUUUCUCACUCCUUUGGAAAGUAUACAUCAAAACUUAAUAUUUUUUAAAAGAUUUUUUAAUUUAUUUCUUUGAGAGGUAGAGUUACAGACAGAGAGGAGAUACAGAGAGAAAGGUCUUCCAUCCACUGGUUCACUCCCCACAUGGCUGUAACUGCUGGAACUGGGCUGAUCUGAAGCCAGGAGUGAGGAGUUUCUUCAGAGUCUCCCAUGUGGGUGCAGGGGCCAAGCACUUGAGCCAUCCUCCGCUGCUUUCCCAGGCCAUAAGCAGAGAGCUAGAUCUGAAGAGGAGCAGCCAGGACACUAACCGGCACCCAUAUGGGAUGCCGGUGCCGCAGGUGUAAUCUUAGUCUACUAUGCCACAGUGCUGACCCCUAAUUUAGCACUUUGUGUAAAUUACCUUAUUUCUUUAUCACCCAUAAAUUAGAUAUAUUUUUAAAAUGAUAUUUAUUUUCAUCUACUUGAAAGGCAGAGAGAGAGAUAGAGAGAAAGAGAAGAGAGGGAGACACCUUCCAUAUGCUGCUGUACUCCCCUGAUGCCCUCAACAGCCAGGGCUGGACCCUGCCAAAGCCAGGAGCUUUGAGCUCCAUCUGGGUCUACUUUGAGGGUGUCAGGGCCCCAAAUACUUGAACUAUCAUCUGUUGCCUUCCAGGAUGCAUAACCAGGAAGCUGGGUGGGAAGCAAAGUAGCUGGGACUCAAAGCAGCAUUCCAAUAUGAGAUGUGGACAUCCCUAUCAGAGACUUACCGUGCUGUGCCUCAGUGCCAGUCCCCACAUCCCCAAGUCAGAUGGCUUUUAAAAAAUCAACAGUUACAUGCUACAACAACAUCCUCAAUGGCUUUUAUUUAUUCAAGGAACGUAGGAGAGAGAACGAGAGCGAGAGUGAGAGAGCACCUCCAUCCACUUGUUUACUUCCUAAAUGGUUGCAGUGUCUAGGGACCAGACAAGGCUGAAGCCAGGAGCUGGGAACUCAGUCCAGCUCUCCCAAGUGGGUGACAGGAACUUAGUUACUUUGAACCAUCAUUGCUGCCUCCCAGGGUAUCGGCAGGAAGCUAGAAUUGGGAUCUGGAGCCGGGAAUCAAACCCAGGCUCUCUGGUAUGGCACAUGGGCAUCCCACCCAGUGUCUUUAUCACAGAUCAAAUACCCACCCCUCUACCCCUAGUCAUUUUUGACAUAAUGAGGCUGUUUAUACUUAAAUUCUGACGUGGCUAUUCUUUUUUGAAGUUUGUGCUUGUCUUAAUUGUUUGAGAGGCUUAGAAAGAGAUACAAGCAGAGAGAUCUCCCAUCUACUGUUUUACGUCCCAGAUGCCUGCAACAGCCAAGGCUGUAUGGAGAGUGCCAGCAGCGGGAAAUUCAACUCAGGUCUUCACAUGGGUGUCAGAAACCUAAUUACUUGAACCAUUACCACUGGCUCCCUGGGUGUACAUUGCCAGAAGCUGAAGUCGGGGUUCAGAUCUGGCUAGGCAUGUUGAUGUGGGAUGGUGGUGUCUAGCUAUUAGGCUAAACAUCCAUUCCUAGUUUGAAUCUUUUAUUUAAAAUUUUUAUUUAUUUUCAUUUUAUUGGAAAGGCAGAGAGAAAGACAGAACAAUAGACAUAGAUCCUCUGUCCUCUGGUUCACUCCCCAAAUGUCUGCAAGAGUUGGAGCUGGGCUAGGUGGAAGCCAAGAGUCUGAACUCCAUCUGGUUCUUCCGCACAGGUGGCAGGGACUUAGUCACUUGAGCCAUUGCCUGCUGCCUCCCCGAGGUGCAGUCCCAGGAAGCUGGAGCUGGGGCUGGAGGCAGUGCUUGAACCCGGCACUCCGACAUGGGAUGCACGCAUUCCACGCAGUGACGGAACUCCUCUGCCAACACCAGCCCCUGCUCUGAGUUUUGAUAGCUGCAUUUUAUAGUUUUUGUUUCUUUUUUUGUUGUCUGGUUUAAAAAAAAAAUAAUUUACUACUGUCAAAGUCACAUACCUAUUUUAAUCCAUCUUAUUUCUCUCUGAUCUUCUGUGGGCUUGAAAAGAUCAUAUGAGUAAGCUUGUUAGUAUAGUUUCUAAUCUAAAAGAGAAUGCAUUAUGAAUGGCAGUUACAUAAGGUACCAGAUAAUUCACCUUUAGAUAAAUGCAAGGUGUUUGUUUAAUAAGAUAUUAUGUAGGAUGCUACAUAGGAUUUUUUUUCAAGAAGGAUUAAAUAGUUUAUUAUUAUGUUUAAAUAUAUAGUUUUUAAAAAGUUCUAGUUAUUUUGUUGGCAGAAUGACAUGAUUUUUGUGUAUUCCCUUCAGUUUAUGUGAAAUAUUUGUGAACAAGCCAACUUUGUUUAUUGGAAUUGUUAAUUCUGGGUAUAAAUGAACAGCAGGUGCCUUGUGGUCAUCAUUAAAUCAAAACCAUAAACAUUUUCUACUCCUGUAUGUGCAAGGUGGUGGGUAAAGCAUUCCUUUUUUCCUUUAGAAGAAACAGAACACAAGCAUGUGACAAGUAGGUGGUUUCUAAUUGACUACAUAAGAAACUGCAUGACCACUAGCAUUGACAAGUGGGACGAAGGUCUGGAUGUGGGGAUGUUUAAGUUUCUGUACUUUGAAAUUUUUGCUGUAUGUUUAUUUUCACAAUAUAAAUAAAUCCUUCAACAGAAAAAGUAAAUAACAAUAGUCACUUUAAGCAGCAGGCCUGUGUUAUGGUAGAAGCACUGCCCCAAGGAAAUAGAUAAUGAAUUAUACCCUCUGCCCUUUUUGGUUUUGAUUUUGAGUGAUACUUAAAGUUGAGGGGAAAUCUUUUGUAUUUAACUUGGAGAUAGAACUGAACCACAAGAUUGUUCCUGGGGGCCGGCAUUGUGGCAUAGCAGAUAAAGCCACUACCUGUAACACUGGCAACCCAUAUGGAUUCUAGUUUGAGUCUCAGUGUCUCCACUUCUGAUCCAGCUCCCUGCAAAUGUGCCUGGGAAAGCAGCAAAAGAUGGCCCAAGUGCUUGGGACCCUGUACCCACAUGGGAGACCCGGAAGAUGCUUCUGGCUUUGGACCAGCCCAGCCCUGGCUGUUAGCAGCCAUCUGGGGAGUAACCAACAGAUGGAAGAUCUCCCUCUUUCUGUAACACUGCUUUUCAAAUAAAUAAACAAAUCUUUUUUUUUUUUAAAUAAAAAACAAAGAGAUUGCUCCUGGGCUUGGAGGAUGCAAGCUACUAACUUUUAUUUAUGUGUCUUUUGUUUCUUUUACUUACCUUACAAUUCAAAAAUUUAAGUGAUACUGUUAGAAGGGUUUGGUUCUGGCUAGAAAGUGAAAUCCAUGAAUCAGAACAGUUUGGCUCUGUUAGAGCUUAGUGCUUUGUCUUCUGUCAUCUUUCUUCUUCUACUGCCUUCCCUAUCUUCUUUGUCACUUUCAGCCGUUUGGGCAACUUGCCUGAGAAUUUAGCUGCUUCACUCUUAGGUGUUUGCUUCCUUCCUUCCUUCCUUCCUUUUUUUUUUUUUUGGUCUAAAUGUUGCCAUGCCAUGAGACAAAAAAGCCCAGCAUGUGCCUUGUUAUGAUCACUUUGGUGACAUUAAACCACAAAUAAAUCCGAAAACUUUGUGAAUAUCAGCACAGAUAAGAAUGUGUGCAAGGUUAUUUACUUUUCUCAAUCUUAAGUGUGACCAGGAAACAACCAUUCCCUAUCAGUGGGCUUUUAUAAGCAAUUGUUUUGUCUGGUAGUUUAAGUUGCUUUGUAACUUACUAACAGGAUUUUGAAAUUUGUCUUAUCAUAUGUGAUUAGGCACUUAGGUAUGAGAAUUUCCACAACUAUUCUGGUGGGACUCUUCUUCUUCCCAGUGAAAGGCUUUUGAUAGUACACACGUGACAGAGAGAGUGGAGGAAUCACUGUGAGGUUUAAAUAAGUCCUACUAGUUAGUAAGUCCUAGGGAAGGGAGCCUGGUUGCUCUCUAGGUCUUUCUUACUGUACUCAAUAUCAUUUCUUCUUAGCUAAGUAUGUUCUUUAUCAGUGACUGUCAAAUCAGGGAGUGUGUGACAGGAUCAUAUGGGGGGAACUAAGAUUCUGAUGAGCAAAUACAUGAAAUUUUUGUAUAAUUUAAAUAAAAUUUAAAAAAAAGAUUCUAAUGAGCACUGGGAAUGGAGAAAGGUUGAGACAGAUGUUCAUAGGAAAAAAAUGUGAGUAACUGAGUUUUUUUUCCCUGAUUUUUUAUUGUUAUAUAACAAACCACCCCAAAAACUUAGUGGCUUACAACAAUGAUGAACAUUUAGUCAUAUUAUUUCCCACAGUUUUGUGUUCACAGGGUGGUCCUGGCUCAGGGACUGUUCAGAACAUUGUAGUUCAGAUGUGGGCUGGGCGUGGCCAUCUGCAGGCUUGUUUGGGCUGGGAGGAUGGCUCACUCACGACAGUGAGGCCUGAUUUCCUCACUGGCUGUUGGCAGAAAGCCUUAGUCCUUGGAAACAAGGAUAUCUCUUUAGAUCUGAAAACAUGGCUGCCUGUUUCUGCAGGAGUGGGUGGUCCAAGAAAGAGAGCUAGGAGGAAGCUGUGAUGAUGUUUAUGACUUAGUCUUAGAAAUCUCAUGCUGUCAAUCCUGCCUUACUCUUCCCUGGAAGGGAGUCACUCAGCCAUGCCACCCACUAGAGGAGGAGAAUUAGGCUUCAUAUUUUAAUGACAGGAAUGAAAAAAAAAAAAAAAAACCACAAAAA